GAGCCUCACUGGGUUAGGGCCCGUAU
rnacentral:piRNA from 1 species